GACAGUGAGGUCUCAGACAUGGAGACGGAGAAGGACUCUUGUUUGAGACGUCCAUCCUCAGGUGAUUUUAACAUUUAAGUCUUUCUUCUGGGUGAUUGUCCUGCACAACAAAUGUCUUUAUGGAGAGGUGUGAACGGAGACCCACUUUGUUACUAGAAUAUGUUCAAAGACCAUUAAGACAACUUUAGUGAGUUAAUAACUGUCUGAUUUGUUAAAGAAUCCUCAGGAGGAAAAAGAAAGACGCCUUCCUCUGAGUGUGGUGAGGACACCCUGUCCUCAGCAUCCUCUACACCAAGAAGGCCACACCAUGUCGAGUCAGACUGUGAUGAUGCUGAAGCAGGACCCUCUGAAGCAAAGAGACAAACUGUGACAUCUAUAACGGAUGACUCUGAAGAAGGAACCCAAAGAUACAACCGAGCACAGCGAGGUGAAUCCUCUGUUACAGGUAUGGCACAGUCUGGACAGUUUACCCAUUACCUUUUUCAACACAACCACUAGGUAGGCAUUAUUAGUGUUAUUGAAACACAUUAUGUAAAUUGGUUGAUUUAUCUUCCUGUAUGUUUUUUAUUAAACAAAAUAAGAAAUAAGAUUGUUAAUGCCAAACAAGAUGGUUGCGCUACAACUACAAAAAUCCUACGUAUAUAUUGUGAACUUGCUGCCCU
rnacentral:lncRNA from 1 species